rnacentral:ncRNA from 1 species
CGGAUUUUUAGAACCAACUGAUGCUGUUAAAACGACAGUGUCGCCAUAACGAAUAAACGCUGCACCGCUUGCUUGUUUAGCUAAUUGGCCUGUUUCGAUAAUGAAGGGUUUACCACCCAGAGUUGUUUCAAAUACUUGUUUUUCUGUCAUUAAAAUAGUCCCCUUCCAAAGUAAACA